rnacentral:lncRNA from 1 species
GGGAUUCCAAAGACAGGUAAAAUACCUGUAAUUACAUCAGGUGAUGCAUGUGCCUCCUACUGGGACAUAUUGUACACUCUGCAUGUGGCCCUGGAACGUCCACCACGUCCCCUUUGCUGACUGCUGUCUCGGCUGGCUACACUGGUCUGGGCCCCACCACUGGACGAAGCCGCCACAAACUGUGGCAUCCUCUGUGAUCUACCCUGGAUACCUG